GCCAGAAUGGCUUUUCCUCCCCUGUCCUGGUCCCUGUGGUCCCUUCCAUUUGGCCAGAUCUCUUCCUAGCAUAACAAAUUGUGUUGGUUACAUUUCCCAACUAACCUCCCAGUUAGGUCUCAUCCAAGAAAUCCAAACACUAGGUCCUCUGUCAUCCUUCCCACUCCAUUUCAUCCCACAGCUGAAUUUUCUUUGCUGUAGAUACAGCUUCUCUGAACACAAGCGAUCAGAAAGAGUGAGUGUGGUAUGGAGACGAAAUGGAGGAUAAGUGUGGGUACAAAAAUAAGAAUGUCUCCAAGUGAGAUCAUAUAGGAAAUAAGAAAAGUAAUAUUUGGAAUGAAGAGCAUUCCUUACGGGCACAUACUUAGCUAUGCGGCGAGCUGAUUACCAGGAAGAUACGCAUGCAAAUCUUCUCAGAUGCAUCCAACAGUAACUGGCACCAGUGAACUUACUAGAGGGAUGAUUCAUUAAAAGGACAGGACAGCUCACAGAACUGACAGAAAGGUGAGAGAAUUAGGAAACAGGCAAGAAUCAAGGAAGGCUGGACAGUCAAGGUCACUCCCAGGAACUAUCUUCUUACCCACUCUGAUAUCUGCUGUUGAACACAUGGUGUUGCCAGAGUGGGAUUCCUGAUAUGCCUGCUCUGCUCACAGAAAAUUUCACAGCUGACCUUGUGCUUAUAUUAUUGUCUCAAGUCCCAACCAGAUGCAUCUCUUUGUUUGACCUAAGUCAUGUGCUCACAUUCUAGCUCACUGAUUCUUUAAGUGUGAUCUUCUUUAAUCCCUACCUGA